AAGGGUAUGGCUCAGUAGGAGAGUGUGUACUUAGCAUGCAUGAGGUCCUGGAUUCAAUUCCCAGCACCCAUU
rnacentral:tRNA from 1 species